GACAUAGGUGGCAAACGUUAUCCGGAAUUAUUGGGCGUAAAGAGCUCGUAGGCGGUGUGUCGCGUCGGCCGUGAAAACCUGGGGCUUAACUCUGGGCGUGCGGUCGAUACGGGCAUCACUAGAGUUCGGCAGGGGAGACUGGAAUUCCUGGUGUAGCGGUGAAAUGCGCAGAUAUCAGGAGGAACACCGGUGGCGAAGGCGGGUCUCUGGGCCGAUACUGACGCUGAGGAGCGAAAGCAUGGGUAGCGAACAGG
rnacentral:rRNA from 1 species